rnacentral:rRNA from 1 species
GACGAACGCUGGCGGCGUGCUUAACACAUGCAAGUCGAACGGAAAGGCCCUGCUUUUGUGGGGUGCUCGAGUGGCGAACGGGUGAGUAACACGUGAGUAACCUGCCCUUGACUUUGGGAUAACUUCAGGAAACUGGGGCUAAUACCGGAUAGGAGCUCCUGCUGCAUGGUGGGGGUUGGAAAGUUUCGGCGGUUGGGGAUUGAAUCGAGGCUUAUCCGCUUGUUGGUGGGGUAGUGGCUGACCAAGGCUUUGACGGGUAGCCGGCCUGAGAGGGUGACCGGCCACAUUGGGACUGAGAGACGGCCCAGACUCCUACGGGAGGCAGCAGUGGGGAAUAUUGCACAAUGGGCGGAAGCCUGAUGCGGCAACGCCGCGUGCGGGAUGACGGCCUUCGGGUUGUAAACCGCUUUCGCCUGUGACGAAGCGUGAGUGACGGUAAUGGGUAAAGAAGCACCGGCUAACUACGUG